CAUUUUCAUGGAUAUGAAACUGGACACCGAGUUGAUGCUGAAGUUCAGCUGCUGGGUAAUCUUCCAUUUCUGGGGACUGCUCUGCUUUCUUGUAAAACCCAGCUGUGCCUUCACCCUGGACAGGAGCAACUGGCUUGGAGGCCGUGGGGGUGGGCGGCAGAUCUAUUGUGAGGAAGCCAAGAAGUGGAUGUCUGCCUCCCCUGCUCCCUCCCAGAGGACCUGGAUAUGAAACUCACCAGAGUGGACGGUGAAGCGCAACUGCCGGGUGUUCUUCCAGUUCCAGAGACUGCAUGACUUCCUGCUCAAUGACACCUGGACCUUCUUCCUGGAGAAGAGCAACUGGUUCGGAGGCAGCAUGGGUGGGCAGCAGCUCAGCCAUGAGGAAGCCAAGAAGCGGAUGUCUGUCUCCCCUCCUCCCCCGCAGAGGACACAGAUGUGAAACUAACGCAGGGUGGACGCUGAAGCUCAGCUGCUGGAUAAUAUUCCAGUUCCGGAGACUACACGGCUUCUGCUCAACACCAGCUGGGCCUUCAUCCUGGAGAGGAGCAACUGGUGAGCAGAUGUGGCCGCCCCAGUGGUGGCCGUGGCCUGGGUGCCCAAGGGGAAGGGAAGGGACAGCCCGUUCUCUGGGGUUGGGCAGCCCAGACAAAUAGUGAUGUGGACUUCCAUCCUGUGACAGGGAGGGCCAUGUGGGGUAGCCCCACAGGCAUGGGGAGAAAUGUAGGGGCCUGGUGGGCUUCAGUAGAGUUAGAGACCAUGGAGACGGGGGGGUUGAUAGGAUGUUGGGGAAUAAGUCCCGGGGCUCUGCAGAGAAUUAGGGGCCAAAGAAGAUGGUAAGAGGGGAAGACUUGGGUAUCUAGGAAAUGGGAGGGAGACCUAGAGGAAAAGUGUGUGCUGUUGAGUCCAGAGUACAAAACCCAAGAGGUCUGUCUGGUUUGGAGAGAUGUGUUAAUAAAAGUUUGGGUUUGAGAUUUUGGAGCUAAGUAUGACAGGAUUGGAAGUAUUAUGUGUGGUGGGAGUGGAGGGUUAGAUGUCAUGGAAGAACCUGGGGCAUGCAAGGUGUUGGGAGCUGAAAUCAGGUAAUUUCUGUCUAUCACUAUCCUGUGAUAUAGAUAGGGAAAUGGAAGGAUUGAAUGGAGGGGGUCAGGUGACCUCAGUAGAGUUGUAAUAGGGAGGAGCUGGUAGGUCUACUAGAAGAAGUGGUGGAGUCUCCAAGUGUUAGACCUGGGACAGGGCUUGAGCAAAAACCUUGGGAAAAUGAGGGUAAAAAAAGGGUGAGGGGUGCAGUGUGUUCUUUCUUAGGGACU